rnacentral:pre_miRNA from 1 species
GUAAGAAUCACCUUGUGCCCUUGUUAAAAUGUAGAUUCUGAUUCUAUAGGCUUGGAGUAAGGGCUUAGAGUCAACAUUUCUAACAAGUGCCCAGGUGAUACUAAU